rnacentral:rRNA from 1 species
UGGGGGAUAUUGCACAAUGGGGGAAACCCUGAUGCAGCGACGCCGCGUGUGGGAAGACGGUCCUCUGGAUUGUAAACCACUGUCCCCAGGGACGAAGAUGACGGUACCUGGGGAGGAAGCUCCGGCUAACUACGUGCCAGCAGCCGCGGUAAUACGUAGGGAGCGAGCGUUGUCCGGAAUUACUGGGUGUAAAGGGAGCGUAGGCGGGGGUGCAAGUUGGGUGUCAAAACUACCGGCUCAACUGGUAGUCGCACUCAAAACUGCAACUCUUGAGUGAAGUAGAGGCAGGCGGAAUUCCUAGUG